GACCAGUUGACAAGUGCCCUAAACGACUUUACAAAACUUCACCUCGUUUGGAAUUUCAGUGGGAUUUACAUGUUUAGACGUAGGUCAGAUGUUCAGAUAUCUGAUAUGUAUCUGAUUUAAAACCUCAUAUGGAAGUGACUCAGAACGGAUGCAAAAAAUCGAAUCUUGUGCAGAUUGUUAUGUUUACGAUCUGUGUCACAUGUGAAAGUGGAAGAAGGUUGGCAAGUAGUUGGUACUGUUGAGUUAAAGGAACACAGUCCUGAAUCCACAGUUAUGCCAUGUUCAGAUUUCAAGAUGUCCAGACCUACACUACUGUUAAUGGGUGGAGAGGGUGACAGUCUUUCUCCAGAGCUGUGUCAGAUGUGUGACGUCCUGCUCACCAUCCCUCCGAGCAGGAACCUGCGCCCUGGAGUAGAAUCUCUCAAUGUGUCUGCAGCCACAGCGCCCCCAUCAGACCGGCUGGAGCGAGCCUUGGUGUAGUUGUAGAUGGUGUGUACACCAUCCCUCCAAGUA